rnacentral:rRNA from 1 species
GACGUAGGAUGCAAGCGUUAUCCGGAAUUAUUGGGCGUAAAGCGUUCGUAGGUGGUUUGUAAAGUUGGAUGUCAAAUCUUUGAGCUUAACUCAAAGUCGGUGUCCAAAACUAAUAGACUAGAGACAGGUAGGGGUAGGUGGAAUUCUGUAUGUAGGGGUAAUAUCCGUAGAUAUACAGAGGAACACCAAAAGCGAAGGCAGCCUACUGGACCUGUUCUGACACUCAAGAACGAAAGCGUGGGGAGCAAACGGG